CGGAUUGCAGGCUGCAACUCGCCUGCAUGAAGUCGGAAUUGCUAGUAAUCGCAGAUCAGCAUGCUGCGGUGAAUACGUUCCCGGGCCUUGUACACACCGCCCGUCACACCAUGGGAGUUUGUAACGCCCAAAGUCGGUGGCCUAACCUUUAUGGAGGGAGCCGCCUAAGGCGGGACAGAUGACUGGGGUGAAGUCGUAACAAGGUAAC
rnacentral:rRNA from 1 species